rnacentral:rRNA from 1 species
CAUUACCGAGUGAAGGGCCUCUGGCCCGAGACUCCCAACCCCAUGUGACCCGACAUUGUUGCCUCGGGGGCGACCCGGCUCUUGAGUCGGGGCCCCCGGCGGACUGUUCAACGCUGCAUCUGUGCGUCCGAGUCAAAUGAUAAAUCAAUCAAAACUUUCAACAACGGAUCUCUUGGUUCUGGCAUCGAUGAAGAACGCAGCGAAAUGCGAUAAGUAAUGUGAAUUGCAGAAUUCAGUGAAUCAUCGAAUCUUUGAACGCACAUUGCGCCCCUUGGUAUUCCGGGGGGCAUGCCUGUUCGAGCGUCAUUUCACCACUCAAGCCUCGCUUGCUAUUGGGCGCUGCGGUUCGCCGCACGCCCCAAUGUCUCCGGCUGAGCCGUCCGUCUCAAAGCGUUGUGGCAACUCAAUCCGCUUCUGGGAACGGGCGACCCGGCCGCUAAACACCCCAUACAAGGUUGACCUCGGAUCAGGUAGGGAUACCCGCUGAACUUAAGCAUAUCAAUAAGCGGAGGA